UACGUAGGUGGCAAGCGUUGUCCGGAUUUAUUGGGUUUAAAGGGUGCGUAGGCGGUCCAUUAAGUCAGUGGUGAAAUACGGCAGCUUAACUGUCGAGGUGCCAUUGAUACUGGAGGACUUGAGUACAGACGAGGUAGGCGGAAUUGACGGUGUAGCGGUGAGAUGCUUAGAUAUCGUCAAGAACACCGAUAGCGAAGGCAGCUUACUAGACCGUAACUGACGCUGAGGCACGAAAGUGUGGGGAUCAAACAGGAUUAGAAACCCGUGUAGU
rnacentral:rRNA from 1 species